GAAAGAAAUUUGAUAUCAGGCGAUAUUUCUUCUGAUCCAUGGCCCAUUCCAAGGAGGAUCAUUUCUUCUCAGAGUUUCAGCUCUUUAAUAUUUGAUCAUUGUUGGUCUGCCUUACCUUAUGAGGAUGGACAUGUUGAGGUAAGGAGUUCUCUUUCAGGAACUUUAUGUAGAACAUCCCAUCUUCUGCAAGUGCCAUACGCUUCAAAGCAAUGAGGAUCUGAAUGCUGAAUGCAGUGUGGUGCAGUGAUGGUGCUUCCACCUUCUUGGAAUUCCCAUUUGGAGGCAUAUCCAGACUGCUCUGACCAUGACCUAUCUGUGCACGAAAGCAACUAUUCCUCCCAUACCCACAUGUGCCCCAGGAGCUCUCCUUUGCUGUAGAAGGCACUGCUACCAACAAGAGUGGUGCAGGCAGGUUGAGAAUCCAGUGGAUGCGGCUCUGGUGCCAU
rnacentral:lncRNA from 1 species